ACGGGUGUGCAACCCUUGGCCUGGGCCUCUUUCAGCCGUGAUACUCUGAGCCAUGGAAGCAGCUGGCUUCUAUUUCGUGGCGAGGGCUUGCUCAGUGAGUGGCCCGUGUUGGCUGGAAGCAAUUACAUCUAUGUCCCCAUCAAACACCAUGGCUGGAAGAGAAGGUAUUUAAAGGACUAAGCCUUUGAACUGAUCCCAAAUAUCUGCUUAAAUUACUUAUUCACCCUUUCCUGGUAUUUGGUGCGGAGGAACACGAUUACCUUGUCAGGUAUCAGGAAAAAUUGCCCCUCUUCGGGGAGAGGGAAUAAAGGGCCUUGAUUCCCAGUGGGUGUGGAAGAAUGGAGUUUGAGACUGGGGAGUUGAGCUGUGCCUCUCUGAGAUGCUUGUGUGCCAGGGAGCACUGGACAUAGUACACAGGCUGGGGCAUCCUUUCAGCCCCAAACAGCCUGCUGUGUGACUUGGACUCUACUGUGGAUCCAGGGACCAGUGACAGAGAUAGCUCACAGUUGACGGAGGCUCUGUGUGUGUUCUGUGCCUCCUGGUUCACGAGCAGAGCCCCUUGACCAUAUCCAGGCCAAGCCCCUGCUUUGUCUGUGGUCUGAUGGAGGUACCUGUUUCUGUUCUCCCUGUCUACUCACGCAGGAUCUCCUAGGCUGCUCUCCCUCCUUCUUUUGUGUGCAGGACUGAUUCACAGGAGGCAGUGCACCACCGGCCUCCCUCCCUCCCACCCCAGCUCUCCUACCCCGAGCUGCAGCACGGAUCUUUCUUGAUUUCUGUAGACAACAUAGGCAUAAAAAGUAACACCACCAGCAACAAGGUUGCAAACUGUAUGGCUCUAAAGUACACAGCAAAGUUGGAUUCUCAGCUUUUCUUGGAUCUGCUGUGAGGAUUGCCCUGCAUGGGCUGACGUGCAGGACUUCAUUCAGACUCACGCAGUCCACCUAGCCCACGCCCCAGCUCGUACGCUUUCCUGUUGGCAGGUUUCUAGUUCUUAUAUUUAUUUAUAUAUUCUAAAUACUAUUAUAUAAAACUAUAAUUCUUAUGUAUACUAAUUACAUAAUUAAUAUCAAAAUAUAUAAAGGAAUUAAAUUCUAACUUAAAAUAAAAUAUAAAUUAACAAUAUUAAUCAUCUACAAAUAUAAUUGUUAUAUUCUUAUGGUACAUAAUUUUUACAUUAUGAUAUUUUUCUUUAUUAGGUGGUACAUGUGAGCUCACAUUUCAGGAGCUGAACGGUCUCUCUGGUCUGUACUCCUGAGCACAACUCGCCUCCCUCCCAGACCAGCCUCCUCUAUCGAUCGUGUCCAUCCCUGAUUUUCUGAACAGACAGACAAGGAAUGGGAUGACAGGCUGGCUACGCCCCUGCCCUUAGACCUCAAGAACAAGCUGUCCAUUUCUUCUUGGAUGCUUGUGUCCUUUGGGAUAGGGAAGUGGAAUGGGCAGGAUGGCUCUCCUGGGACUCAGACAUCAGAGGAAGGGCACAGUUGACUCCUUAGUGAGGCUGGCUGCCUCAACCGAGUGCUCCUUAUCAGCCUGACUCUGUCUGGGGGUGGGGACUUCUGAACCUCACUUUUGUCAGCACCCACCUGGCUUAUGCUUGGUUUUUGGCUUUUCUUUUUCUUUGAGACAGGGUCUCACUGAUCACUCUGUAGAUCAGGCCGGCUUCAAACUCAGUGAUCUGCCUGUUUACUGCUGAGAUGAAAGGUGUUUGCUCGUCGCUGUUCUGUGUUGAGGAAGGGUUUCACAUAGCUUAGGUGAGUACCAUAAUGCCUGUUUUUUGUUUGUUUGCUUGUGUUCUUUUGAGACAGGGUUCUCUGUGUAGCCCUAGCAGUCCUGGAACUUGCUCUGUAGACCAGGCUGGCCUUGAACUCAGAGAUCUGUCUCCCAAGUAUUGGAAUUAAAGGCGCACACCACCAC
rnacentral:lncRNA from 1 species